AGCGAACGCUGGCGGCAGGCCUAACACAUGCAAGUCGAACGAAGUCUUCGGACUUAGUGGCGGACGGGUGAGUAACACGUGGGAACGUGCCUUUAGGUUCGGAAUAACUCAGGGAAACUUGUGCUAAUACCGAAUGUGCCCUUCGGGGGAAAGACUUCUCGCCUUUAGAGCGGCCCGCGUCUGAUUAGCUAGUUGGUGAGGUAAAGGCUCACCAAGGCUACGAUCAGUAGCUGGUCUGAGAGGAUGACCGGCCACAUUGGGACUGAGACACGGACCGAACUCCUACGGGAGGCAGCAGUGGGGAAUCUGGCGCAAUGGGCUAAAGCCUGACGCAGCCAUGCCGCGUGGAUGAUGAAUGUCUUAGGAUUGUAAAAUCCUUUCACCGGUGAAGAUAAUGGCUGUAGCCGGAGAAGAAGCCCCGGCUAACUUCGUGCCAGCAGCCGCAGUAAUAC
rnacentral:rRNA from 1 species